GUACCUGUAGCGCAAUGGAUAGCUCGUUGAACUACUAAUCCAAAGGUCGUGGGUUCAGAUCCCACCUGGGAUG
rnacentral:tRNA from 1 species